AACGAACGCUGGCGGCAUGCCUAACACAUGCAAGUCGAACGAGACCUUCGGGUCUAGUGGCGCACGGGUGCGUAACGCGUGGGAACCUGCCCUUAGGUUCGGAAUAACUCCCCGAAAGGGGUGCUAAUACCGGAUAAUGUCUUCGGACCAAAGAUUUAUCGCCUUUGGAUGGGCCCGCGUUGGAUUAGCUAGUUGGUAGGGUAAAAGCCUACCAAGGCGACGAUCCAUAGCUGGUCUGAGAGGAUGAUCAGCCACACUGGGACUGAGACACAGCCCAGACUCCUACGGGAAGCAGCAGUGGGGAAUAUUGGACAAUGGGCGAAAGCCUGAUCCAGCAAUGCCGCGUGAGUGAUGAAGGCCUUAGGGUUGUAAAGCUCUUUUACCCGGGAUGAUAAUGACAGUACCGGGAGAAUAAGCUCCGGCUAACUCCGUG
rnacentral:rRNA from 1 species